rnacentral:sRNA from 1 species
CAUCCAUUGGGAGGCCCACUGAGCGACCGGCAGCGGUAAGAUACUACAUGCCCAGACAUCGAAGUGUGACAGCAUAUCUGCCACCAAUCCACUCAUCUCUCAGAACGCCCUUCCCAGAGGUUUAGCUGAUGCGCUAGUCAUGGAAUCGGUUUUUACUUUGGUCGCUCCAGUUAUCCAUCUGACGAAAAGGUCAGACGAAAUCUGAUGCCAUUCCAGGCCUCCCGCUAUCCGGCAAUAUGGACAGGCGAUUCCCACAAACAGCUGUCUCAGUGUGAAAGUCUUUGAAAGAGGACGUAGGAACGCCAGUGCACGUGGUCCAUUGCAAGAUUCCGCUCCGGGUAUCACCGCUCCGCUUGGCGCAGAGUAUUAACCCUAACGCUCAGGCCCCGAUCGCUUACCACGAGGGAAAGGAUGACAACCCGUGGCAUUCGAAACCCACC